UGUCAUCCUGUUGGGACUCACCCCAAUAGCCUCUGAGGGGACUGGCAUUACUGGGUGCUGGAAUGGUCUGCCCUGCUCUGUGAAAAGCCUGAGCCACACGAAAGCCGGCUUCCUCUAUCUCCCUCCCUCACAGACGUGGGAAUGACUACAGAAUGAACAACCAUCAAGGAUAAAGGAUGUAUUUGUCAAAGUGAGAGAGAGGUAUGCAGAGAUGGAGCUGACCUGCAGAUGGAUGUCUGGUGAGGCACAGUAUGAACAGCCAUGGAAACAUGUGGUCUAAAACAUGGACGCCUGGAGCUUGCCCUGAUUCUCUUUCAUUGAUCAUCCAGAAAAAGCUUCAAGGGCCCAAACUUUGCUUCUGGGCCUGAGCCUCACGCUCAGCCUGACAGUGCUCCAAAGUGAACUUCCUUGCUCAAUGGAAACAAUUCUUGGCCAUCUCUGCUUCUCCAUC